UUACGGGAGGCAGCAGUGGGGAAUUUUGGACAAUGGGGGCAACCCUGAUCCAGCCAUACCGCGUGAGUGAAGAAGGCCUUCGGGUUGUAAAGCUCUUUCAGCCGGAAAGAAAACGCAUCCCUUAAUACGGGGUGUGGAUGACGGUACCGGAAGAAGAAGCACCGGCUAACUACGUGCCAGCAGCCGCGGUAAUACGUAGGGUGCGAGCGUUAAUCGGAAUUACUGGGCGUAAAGCGUGCGCAGGCGGCUUUUUAAGCCAGAUGUGAAAUCCCCGGGCUUAACCUGGGAAGUGCAUUUGGAACUGGAAGGCUAGAGUGUAGCAGAGGGGGGUAGAAUUCCACGUGUAGCAGUGAAAUGCGUAGAUAUGUGGAGGAAUACCGAUGGCGAAGGCAGCCCCCUGGGCUAACACUGACGCUCAUGCACGAAAGCGUGGGGAGCAAACAGGAUUAGAUACCCUGGUAGUCCACGCCGUAAACGAUGUCAACUAGGUGUUGGGGAAGGAGACCUCUUUAGUACGU
rnacentral:rRNA from 1 species